UAGAAAUCACCCACGUUCGGCUGGCAAAUGGCUGUUUAUAAAACGUUGUGUGGUCUCAUUAUGUGAAGAUUCUUCACUUCCACAUAACGUAUUAACAAAAAAAGAGCAACGUAUAUUUUAAAACAUUUUGAGUUGUUAAGCAUUUACAUAAAACGCUGAUGAAAAUGAUGAUCACAUUGGUCCUGGUAGGUCUGGCGAGUCUUGUAGUGUACUCGGACAGUUGCUGCCUGAACAGGUACAAGCACUGUCGUGUAAGCAUCUUUGCAUUAGCGUGCUGUGAUGGCAUGUCGUGCCAGCCAGAUGCACCAUAUUCAGAGACUGGGAUCUGCAACUAUCCUUUCCGUGUGGGCGCAUCAGCCGAUGGAAAAUGAUAACAGAAAAGAUUGUGUACUUUACCACAAUAUUUAAGCAAGUAACGUGAACAGAAUGUCAAUACAUAGGCCUAUUCCCCCACAAUGCUUAAAUAAAUCAAUUUUCCU